rnacentral:misc_RNA from 1 species
GUGAAUCAUCGAAUCUUUGAACGCAAAUUGCACUCUCCUCUGAUAUUAUGCCUAUUCGAGUUUCAGCCUAUAAAAAUCGACAUCGUUGCGGUUGCGCGUGGGCGUUCGUCGAAAAUUCGGUCAUCUUAAAGCUUUUGGUUUUAAGCGACUUACAAUAUUCUUUUUGGUUCCAUCAACGUUUCUAAGAUUUAUUUCUUUACACGUGUAAGAUAUCGAUUUUUACUAGACGUGCCCAUCAUAUCGGAUCACA